rnacentral:rRNA from 1 species
CCUACGGGAGGCAGCAGUGAGGAAUAUUGGUCAAUGGACGAGAGUCUGAACCAGCCAAGUAGCGUGAAGGAUGACUGCCCUAUGGGUUGUAAACUUCUUUUAUCUGGGAAUAAAACGUUCCACGUGUGGGAUUUUGUAUGUACCAUAUGAAUAAGGAUCGGCUAACUCCGUGCCAGCAGCCGCGGUAAUACGGAGGAUCCGAGCGUUAUCCGGAUUUAUUGGGUUUAAAGGGAGCGUAGGUGGAUUGUUAAGUCAGUUGUGAAAGUUUGCGGCACAACCGUAAAAUUGCAGUUGAAACUGGCAGUCUUGAGUACAGUAGAGGUGGGCGGAAUUCGUGGUGUAGCGGUGAAAUGCUUAGAUAUCACGAAGAACUCCGAUUGCGAAGGCAGUUCACUGGACUGCAACUGACACUGAGGCUCGAAAGUGUGGGUAUCAAACAGGAUUAGAUACCCCAGUAGUC